GCAGAGGCAAAAGCAAUCCCCCACCCCCAGCCUUCUUUCCCCACACACACACACAUCCACGCACUAACACCCCACCCCCUAGUCUGGCUGGGAAUUUGAACCGAUCCAGCCUGUUUAAACGGAAAGGACACAGAUCUUCAAUGUAAAAAAAAAAUCAGAUCAGACCCAGAGAGAGAGAGAGACGGAGAGGGAGGAGUGUGUGUGUGUGUGAGUGUGUGUGUGUGUGUGUGAAAGAGGGAGAGGGAGCGAGAGAGCGAGAGAGAGGGAGAGAGAGAGAGAGCGAGAGAGGGAGGGAGAGAGAAAAGAAGAGGGGGAAAAAAAGGAAAGAAGAUUUUCUCUAUGUAUAUAAAGAUGGCCACGUUAGCAAACGGACAACCAGACAAUACCAGCCUGAGUAGCAAUCACAGCAACCCCAGCACCAACGGCCAUAUGAACGGAUUAAACCAUAGUCCCGGAAACCCAUCCACCAUCCCAAUGAAGGACCACGAUGCCAUUAAGCUCUUUAUUGGGCAGAUCCCCCGUAACCUGGACGAGAAAGACCUCAAACCUCUCUUCGAGGAGUUCGGGAAGAUCUAUGAACUGACGGUGCUGAAGGACAGGUUCACUGGCAUGCACAAAGGCUGUGCCUUCCUAACAUAUUGUGAAAGAGAGUCUGCUCUAAAGGCCCAGAGUGCACUGCAUGAACAGAAGACACUGCCAGGGAUGAACAGGCCUAUCCAGGUGAAACCAGCGGACAGCGAAAGCCGAGGAGAAGACAGAAAACUCUUCGUGGGUAUGCUCAAUAAGCAGCAGUCAGAAGACGACGUGCGCAGGCUAUUCGAGGCAUUUGGCAACAUUGAAGAGUGUACAAUCCUUCGAGGACCCGAUGGCAACAGCAAAGGGUGUGCAUUUGUGAAAUACUCUUCACAUGCGGAAGCCCAAGCAGCCAUCAAUGCCUUGCAUGGCAGCCAGACAAUGCCGGGAGCCUCUUCUAGCCUGGUGGUGAAGUUUGCAGAUACAGACAAGGAGCGUACAAUGAGACGCAUGCAGCAAAUGGCAGGACAGAUGGGCAUGUUCAACCCCAUGGCCAUCCAGUUUGGAGCUUAUGGCGCCUAUGCACAGGCACUGAUGCAGCAGCAGGCCGCGAUCAUGGCGUCGGUGGCGCAGGGUGGCUACCUGAACCCCAUGGCAGCCUUUGCCGCAGCCCAGAUGCAGCAGAUGGCAGCUCUCAACAUGAACGGCCUGGCAGCCGCCCCCAUGACACCAACCUCAGGUGGAAGCACGCCUCCUGGCAUAACUGCACCAGCUGUGCCUAGCAUCCCAUCUCCCAUUGGAGUGAAUGGUUUCACUGGCCUCCCGCCACAGGCUAACGGGCAGCCUGCCGCAGAAGCCGUGUUUGCUAAUGGCAUCCACCCUUACCCAGCACAGAGCCCCACUGCAGCAGACCCCUUGCAGCAAGCCUACGCUGGAGUGCAGCAGUACGCAGGUCCUGCUUAUCCUGCUGCUUAUGGCCAGAUUAGCCAAGCGUUCCCACAGCCACCUCCUAUGAUCCCACAGCAACAGAGAGAAGGACCAGAAGGCUGUAACCUGUUUAUCUACCAUCUGCCCCAGGAGUUUGGGGAUGCUGAGCUGAUGCAGAUGUUCCUGCCUUUCGGUAAUGUCAUCUCCUCGAAAGUGUUUGUGGAUCGGGCGACAAACCAAAGUAAAUGCUUUGGUUUUGUGAGUUUUGACAAUCCUGCCAGUGCUCAAGCUGCUAUCCAAGCUAUGAAUGGCUUCCAGAUUGGCAUGAAAAGGCUGAAGGUGCAGCUGAAGAGGCCAAAGGAUGCUAAUCGUCCCUACUGAAGAGUUGUGGGAAUCAGUGGAUACAAAGCACUAGCACAGAGCCAGUCAAAUCCACCACAGUCUCGCGCUGAGCUAGGAAAAAAGUUCACGUAAUGACAUGAAAGUGGAGAAUACAGUCCCCCAGGCCGGCAGCAGCUGAAUGGGCCACAUUUAGGAAAAAAAAAAAAAAAGUAUAUAUAUUAAAAAAAACCACAUGAGCUGUUGGAUUACACCUUUGACAUAUCAGCAAAUAUCAAUCAAGCUGAAGACUUCAGACCUAUUCUCUCUUUGAUUGUUUAGACUGUAACAUUUCUUCAAGAAAAGUAUCACAUCUGCUGACUUCGAAGGACAUGCGCUUGAAAACAAACAAAACACAUAAGUAAGAUCAGAACAGGAAGAUCAACCAGGAUUUCUGAAGAGACACUGAAAUCACCACAGCGGCUUUUCUUCAAACAGGAGAUGCAAACCUGGAUACUGACAAAGGAGUGCCUGUUUGCCACCAAGGAUGCGGUUACCAUGAGCGACCCAUGGUAACAGUCACUGAGCAUCUUUAUCUGUCAUUCCUUAGCUAUAUAGGGACCAAAGGACAAAACUUUUUACCGCAGACUUGUAGCUGUAUGUAAAAUACGAAAGUUCUUUCCUUUUCUCUGAGCUGUUCCUAAAACAGUUUUUGAGAGUGAUUAUAUGAAAUAUGUAAAAACUAAAAAAAAAAAAACACAAACAAAAAAAACUAAAAAAACCACAACAAAAAACAAACAAACAUAAAAAAACCACAAAAAAUAAAAAAGCAACAAAAACCACAAACCUAAUAAUGCUUAAAUGCUUUUAAAACAGCAAGAUAAUAGAUCUUUGAUACUUUGGGAGGUUCUUUGGUUAUACAUUAAUUAGAGUCUAUGAAGCUUUCGUAUGGUUUUCUGUAUAAUACGUAAGGAUCACACUGUUAAAGGCAGGUAAGAUGGAUAUCUAUGAAAAGCAAAAAAAAUACUAAAUAAAUACAUAAAUAAAUACAUAAAAAAGCAUAGAGAAGAGAAAGGAAAGAUGGUUGAUAUUAAAUGGAAAACAAAAAAGGUUUGUAAAUGCUUCUAACUCUCCCCAUUUAAAAUCCUAAUAGUUGUACAGAAUUUAAAAGAAGAAAGUUUAAAAUACCUAUAUAAUAGAAAAAAAUUAGACAACAAAAAAAAUAAAAAAACUUAAAAAACACAAAAAAGCAAAAAAAAAUAUUACAUAGAAGUUAGCGUUAAUGCUAAAAACAAAGAUGUUGUAGAACUGUAAUUUUUGUAGAGUUUAGAUUGAGCAUAAAUUCCUACUCUGCCAAUUGCUGUUGGAUGCUGUUAUUUAUCAAGGAGAUAAAGGAGAUAAAUGGCUACUUUGCCAGCUUUUUUAACUGCAAUCAUUCCAGCUAUUAAAAAAUAAAACUUCAUUCUGUAGACAAUGCAAAUGGGAAACAAAACAGCUGUCAUUUUAUCAGACGUUAGUUCUAACUUGAACAACAAAACACAGCUAAAUGCUUCAUGUCUUCAUGAUCUGCUGUCUGCAAUUUCCCAUCAUCCUAUGCUUCAGUAGCUUCCAUAUUUGCUCUAGAAACCUUCAGGGCAAAGGUUUAGCCUAGAACCUUAACCUUAAAAAAAAAAAAAAAAAAAAAAAUUAAAAAAAUAAAACCAAAAAAAAACCACAAGAAACAAACAAUCUUUGAAGAACUUCUGAAACUGUUUACAAGGAAUUUUGAAAAACAGGGGGAUGUUUAAAAAAUAAAAUAUGCUGGCUCUGAUUUCUGUAAAUAAAUUUGCAUAUUUUGUAGGACUUUUAAUUGUAAUGAUAGAGAAAAACAAGGAAAACUAUUUAAUGAAAGCACGAUAUUUAUCUUUGGUAAAUGACUUUAGAGCAGUUAAAAAAUAAGACAUUGCUUUAAAAAAUCUGACUCAGAAAAAACAAUGAAUUAUUUAAGAACACAUAUAUUUUAAAGUAUAUCAUAUUUAUUAUAAUUUAUUUUCACACUCUUAAAAAUUGAUUUACAUCAUUCUCACACUUGUUUGUCUUGAUUGAGCAGUGUGAUAAUUGUUUCUGAUUCUUUAUUUGGUUUUAGUCUGUUUUAAUCUUCUUGUUUUCUUUUCUUAGUAUUUUUAUCUUAAUCUCAAAGUUGCUUCCUUUCUCUUUUUUUUUUU